rnacentral:rRNA from 1 species
UACAGAGGGUGCAAGCGUUAAUCGGAAUUACUGGGCGUAAAGCGCGCGUAGGCCGUCGAGUAAGUCGGAUGUGAAAUCCCCGGGCUUAACCUGGGAAUUGCAUUCGAUACUGCUUGGCUAGAGUGUGGAAGAGGGAAGCGGAAUUUCCGGUGUAGCGGUGAAAUGCGUAGAUAUCGGAAGGAACACCAGUGGCGAAGGCGGCUUCCUGGUCCAACACUGACGCUGAGGCGCGAAAGCGUGGGGAGCGAAC